rnacentral:rRNA from 1 species
GGUUAAGCGACUAAGCGUACACGGUGGAUGCCCUGGCAGUCAGAGGCGAUGAAGGACGUGCUAAUCUGCGAUAAGCGUCGGUAAGGUGAUAUGAACCGUUAUAACCGGCGAUUUCCGAAUGGGGAAACCCAGUGUGAUUCGUCACACUAUCAUUAACUGAAUCCAUAGGUUAAUGAGGCGAACCGGGGGAACUGAAACAUCUAAGUACCCCGAGGAAAAGAAAUCAACCGAGAUUCCCCCAGUAGCGGCGAGCGAACGGGGAGGAGCCCAGAGCCUGAAUCAGUGUGUGUGUUAGUGGAAGCGUCUGGAAAGGCGCGCGAUACAGGGUGACAGCCCCGUACACAAAAAUGCACAUGCUGUGAGCUCGAUGAGUAGGGCGGGACACGUGGUAUCCUGUCUGAAUAUGGGGGACCAUCCUCCAAGGCUAAAUACUCCUGACUGACCGAUAGUGAACCAGUACCGUGAGGGAAAGGCGAAAAGAACCCCGGCGAGGGGAGUGAAAAAGAACCUGAAACCGUGUACGUACAAGCAGUGGGAGCACAGAGCAAUCUGUGUGACUGCGUACCUUUGUAUAAUGGGUCAGCGACUUAUAUUCUGUAGCAAGGUUAACCGAAUAGGGGAGCCGAAGGGAAACCGAGUCUUAACUGGGCGUUAAGUUGCAGGGUAUAGACCCGAAACCCGGUGAUCUAGCCAUGGGCAGGUUGAAGGUUGGGUAACACUAACUGGAGGACCGAACCGACUAAUGUUGAAAAAUUAGCGGAUGACUUGUGGCUGGGGGUGAAAGGCCAAUCAAACCGGGAGAUAGCUGGUUCUCCCCGAAAGCUAUUUAGGUAGCGCCUCGUGAAUUCAUCUCCGGGGGUAGAGCACUGUUUCGGCAAGGGGGUCAUCCCGACUUACCAACCCGAUGCAAACUGCGAAUACCGGAGAAUGUUAUCACGGGAGACACACGGCGGGUGCUAACGUCCGUCGUGAAGAGGGAAAACAACCCAGACCGCCAGCUAAGGUCCCAAAGUCAUGGUUAAGUGGGAAACGAUGUGGGAAGGCCCAGACAGCCAGGAUGUUGGCUUAGAAGCAGCCAUCAUUUAAAGAAAGCGUAAUAGCUCACUGGUCGAGUCGGCCUGCGCGGAAGAUGUAACGGGGCUAAACCAUGCACCGAAGCUGCGGCAGCGACACUGUGUGUUGUUGGGUAGGGGAGCGUUCUGUAAGCCUGUGAAGGUGUGCUGUGAGGCAUGCUGGAGGUAUCAGAAGUGCGAAUGCUGACAUAAGUAACGAUAAAGCGGGUGAAAAGCCCGCUCGCCGGAAGACCAAGGGUUCCUGUCCAACGUUAAUCGGGGCAGGGUGAGUCGACCCCUAAGGCGAGGCCGAAAGGCGUAGUCGAUGGGAAACAGGUUAAUAUUCCUGUACUUGGUGUUACUGCGAAGGGGGGACGGAGAAGGCUAUGUUGGCCGGGCGACGGUUGUCCCGGUUUAAGCGUGUAGGCUGGUUUUCCAGGCAAAUCCGGAAAAUCAAGGCUGAGGCGUGAUGACGAGGCACUACGGUGCUGAAGCAACAAAUGCCCUGCUUCCAGGAAAAGCCUCUAAGCAUCAGGUAACAUCAAAUCGUACCCCAAACCGACACAGGUGGUCAGGUAGAGAAUACCAAGGCGCUUGAGAGAACUCGGGUGAAGGAACUAGGCAAAAUGGUGCCGUAACUUCGGGAGAAGGCACGCUGAUAUGUAGGUGAAGUCCCUCGCGGAUGGAGCUGAAAUCAGUCGAAGAUACCAGCUGGCUGCAACUGUUUAUUAAAAACACAGCACUGUGCAAACACGAAAGUGGACGUAUACGGUGUGACGCCUGCCCGGUGCCGGAAGGUUAAUUGAUGGGGUCAGCGCAAGCGAAGCUCUUGAUCGAAGCCCCGGUAAACGGCGGCCGUAACUAUAACGGUCCUAAGGUAGCGAAAUUCCUUGUCGGGUAAGUUCCGACCUGCACGAAUGGCGUAAUGAUGGCCAGGCUGUCUCCACCCGAGACUCAGUGAAAUUGAACUCGCUGUGAAGAUGCAGUGUACCCGCGGCAAGACGGAAAGACCCCGUGAACCUUUACUAUAGCUUGACACUGAACAUUGAGCCUUGAUGUGUAGGAUAGGUGGGAGGCUUUGAAGUGUGGACGCCAGUCUGCAUGGAGCCGACCUUGAAAUACCACCCUUUAAUGUUUGAUGUUCUAACGUGGACCCGUGAUCCGGGUUGCGGACAGUGUCUGGUGGGUAGUUUGACUGGGGCGGUCUCCUCCUAAAGAGUAACGGAGGAGCACGAAGGUUGGCUAAUCCUGGUCGGACAUCAGGAGGUUAGUGCAAUGGCAUAAGCCAGCUUGACUGCGAGCGUGACGGCGCGAGCAGGUGCGAAAGCAGGUCAUAGUGAUCCGGUGGUUCUGAAUGGAAGGGCCAUCGCUCAACGGAUAAAAGGUACUCCGGGGAUAACAGGCUGAUACCGCCCAAGAGUUCAUAUCGACGGCGGUGUUUGGCACCUCGAUGUCGGCUCAUCACAUCCUGGGGCUGAAGUAGGUCCCAAGGGUAUGGCUGUUCGCCAUUUAAAGUGGUACGCGAGCUGGGUUUAGAACGUCGUGAGACAGUUCGGUCCCUAUCUGCCGUGGGCGCUGGAGAACUGAGGGGGCUGCUCCUAGUACGAGAGGACCGGAGUGGACGCAUCACUGGUGUUCGGGUUGUCAUGCCAAUGGCACUGCCCGGUAGCUAAAUGCGGAAGAGAUAAGUGCUGAAAGCAUCUAAGCACGAAACUUGCCCCGAGAUGAGUUCUCCCUGACCCUUUAAGGGUCCUGAAGGAACGUUGAAGACGACGACGUUGAUAGGCCGGGUGUGUAAGCGCAGCGAUGCGUUGAGCUAACCGGUACUAAUGAACCGUGAGGCUUAACCUU